AAGUCGUAACAAGGUUUCCGUAGGUGAACCUGCGGAAGGAUCAUUAUCCAUCAAACCAGGUGUGGUUGCGGCCCUCGGGGGCUAUCUCCCGGGUGGUAGGGGUAACACUCUCACGCGCCACAUUUCUGAACCCUUUUUUUACGAGCACCUUUCGUUCUCCUUCGGUGGGGCAACCUGCCGUUGGAACUCAUCAAACCCUUUUUUGCAUACAGCAUUACCUGUUCCGAUACAAACAAUCGUUACAACUUUCAACAAUGGAUCUCUUGGCUCUGGCAUCGAUGAAGAACGCAGCGAAAUGCGAUAAGUAGUGUGAAUUGCAGAAUUCAGUGAAUCAUCGAAUCUUUGAACGCACAUUGCGCCCCUUGGUAUUCCAUGGGGCAUGCCUGUUCGAGCGUCAUCUACACCCUCAAGCACUGCUUGGUGUUGGGCGUCUGUCCCGCCUCUGCGCGCGGACUCGCCCCAAAUUCAUUGGCAGCGGUCCUUGCCUCCUCUCGCGCAGCACAUUUGCGCUUCUCGAGGUGCGCGGCCCGCGUCCACGAAGCAACAUUACCGUCUUUGACCUCGGAUCAGGUAGGGAUACCCGCUGAACUUAA
rnacentral:rRNA from 1 species